UAACAGCUGCUUGUAGCAGAGAAAACAUCUACUUUUGUUCGGGAAAAAAAAAUUCAAAAUUUGUAAACCGUAAAGAAAAAUCGUUUUUGGAAAAAAAUUUCGAUAAAAGUGAAUAAAAUUCAAAGUUAAAUAUAAAUUUUUCGUUGUUGGAAAUACUUGUAAAUUUCCUUUCAUAGUGCGCAUACAAACCUAUCGUUUGCUUCUAGUGUACUCUCGUACUUACAUAUAUCAAGGAUAUUUAUUAUUUUACUACAUGAGUGCAACGCUUGUGUAUGUUUCCAGGCUCCUGCUGCAUUUCGAUUGACAUUAUACACAACAGAUUGACAAACGAGAUAACGUAACGAAAUUUCCAAAUGGUAACGAAAUUUUCUAAAUUUGUCUGUCAUUAUGGAUGAUCAAGUCCCCAACGCAACAUUUGUUUACAUUUUUAAUAAUCUUUAAUACUGACACCAGGCGUACACACUUUGUAUGAGUCUUUGCAGUGCAGCUUACAUUCAACUAGACAACGACUACCUUUACUUCAAUACUGUUCCAAAUUGCGGCGGUCAUUGUUGAUGCCUAAUCUUUAGAUAUAUUUGAAUGCGGCGAUUUUUAUUUACUGUCCUGCAGCCCCUGCCUUCUAACAAAUAACUAAUGAACACUGUUAGUUCGGUGUGGUACCGGUGCUUUAUACAAGGGACGAGCUAAUUGCACCCGCAAUGUUUCUUUCGUUUUUGUUUUGUUUCAAAACAAGGAAUACCGCUAAUACAAAUAUUCCACAUACACCGCAAGUGCCAUGAACAAUAAAUAAUAUAUGUUAUAA